AGUGAACGCUGGCGGUAGGCCUAACACAUGCAAGUCGAACGGCAGCACAGGAGAGCUUGCUCUCUGGGUGGCGAGUGGCGGACGGGUGAGGAAUACAUCGGAAUCUACUCUGUCGUGGGGGAUAACGUAGGGAAACUUACGCUAAUACCGCAUACGACCUACGGGUGAAAGCAGGGGACCUUCGGGCCUUGCGCGAUUGAAUGAGCCGAUGUCGGAUUAGCUAGUUGGCGGGGUAAAGGCCCACCAAGGCGACGAUCCGUAGCUGGUCUGAGAGGAUGAUCCGCCACACUGGAACUGAGACACGGUCCAGACUCCUACGGGAGGCAGCAGUGGGGAAUAUUGGACAAUGGGCGCAAGCCUGAUCCAGCCAUACCGCGUGGGUGAAGAAGGCCUUCGGGUUGUAAAGCCCUUUUGUUGGGAAAGAAAUCCAGCUGGCUAAUACCCGGUUGGGAUGACGGUACCCAAAGAAUAAGCACCAGCUAACUUCGUGCCAGCAGCCGCAGUAA
rnacentral:rRNA from 1 species